UACGGGGGGAGCAAGCGUUGUUCGGAUUUACUGGGCGUAAAGGGCGCGUAGGCGGCCACCGCAAGUCGACUGUGAAAUCUCCGGGCUUAACCCGGAAAGGUCAGCCGAUACUGCGGGGCUAGAGUGCAGAAGGGGCAACUGGAAUUCUCGGUGUAGCGGUGAAAUGCGUAGAUAUCGAGAGGAACACCUGCGGCGAAGGCGGGUUGCUGGGCUGACACUGACGCUGAAGCGCGAAAGCUAGGGGAGCGAAUGGG
rnacentral:rRNA from 1 species